ACAAUGGUGGUUCAGUGGUAGAAUUCUUACUUUCCAUAAGACCUGGGUUCAAUUCCCAGCCAAUGCA
rnacentral:tRNA from 1 species